rnacentral:rRNA from 1 species
UACGUAGGGGGCAAGCGUUGUCCGGAAUCAUUGGGCGUAAAGCGCGUGUAGGCGGUCCGGUAAGUCCGCUGUGAAAGUCGGGGGCUCAACCCUCGGAUGCCGGUGGAUACUGUGGAGCUAGAGUCCGGAAGAGGCGAGUGGAAUUCCUGGUGUAGCGGUGGAAUGCGCAGAUAUCAGGAGGAACACCAAUAGCGAAGGCAGCUCGCUGGGACGGUACUGACACUGAGGCGCGAAAGCGUGGGGAGCGAACAGG